CGUCGUCGUCCCUUGUCGCCGUCUGCCACUUUAGCCAUUAUGUCAUAUCGACGAUCAAAUUUUAUGGAGACGGACGAUAUGUUCCUCCAGUUUGAGGACGAUUUAGAUAAUAACAUCGCGGGAGGGUCAUCAUCUGUGGGCGACAAUACGGAGUCUUCUUCUCAACAAGCGACUCCGACUCCUAGGAGACGUGCGCAGUCUCGACUCUUGGAGUUAGAGCGCCACGUUGCAAUAAAUGGGCGCAUUCCGAUGACAAUCGCCCAUGGAGCGGAG